GCUCGGAUAGCUUAGUCAGUAGAGCAUAAGACUCUUAAUCUCAGGGUUGUGGGUUUGAGCCCCACGUUCAGCA